rnacentral:rRNA from 1 species
AGCAGCCGCGGUAAUUCCAGCUCCAAUAGCGUAUAUUAAAGUUGUUGCAGUUAAAAAGCUCGUAGUUGAAUUUCGGGGUUAGUAGGUUGGUCAUGCCUCUGGUAUGUACUGAUCUCACUGAUUCCUCCUUCCUUAUGAACCGUAAUGCCAUUAAUUUGGUGUUGCGGGGAAUUUGGACUGUUACUUUGAAAAAUUAGAGUGUUUAAAGCAGGCUAACGCUUGAAUACAUUAGCAUGGAAUAAUGAAAUAGGACGUUCGAUCUUAUUUUGUUGGUUUCUAGGAUUGACGUAAUGAUUAAUAGGGAUAGUUGGGGGCAUUAGUAUUCAAUUGUCAGAGGUGAAAUUCUUGGAUUUAUUGAAGACUAACUACUGCGAAAGCAUUUGUCCAAGGAUGUUUUCUAUUAAUCAAGAACGAAAGUUAGGGGAUCGAAGACGAUCAGAUACCGUCGUAGUCUUAACCAU